UAGAUCAUGUUAUUCCACAAUUGAUGUAAUAAUGCUGGUACAUUGUGCAGAUGGUUUUUUCUGCUCUUGCUUUGUCUCAAUGCGAGGUGAUUUGGUACUUCCAACAUGUGGGGAUUGCAUCAUCAAAAUCUACUCGAUUGAAAACUGUUGACAUUGAUGCGAUAGACCCAACUAUUGGUUUCUUACUAGAUGGAAUAGGCAAACUUUGUUGCCUGGUUCGUAAAUACAUAGCAGCAAUAAAAGGUUAUGCCUGUUAGAAACU